UAAGUGAUAGCUCAAUUGGUUAGAGUACAGUGCUAAUAACCCUGAGGUUGUGGUUUUGAUCCCUGUAUGGACCAUUCACUUA